rnacentral:rRNA from 1 species
CCUACGGGAGGCAGCAGUGGGGAAUCUUGCGCAAUGGGCGAAAGCCUGACGCAGCAACGCCGCGUGCGGGAAGAAGGCUCUCGGGUUGUAAACCGCUUUCAGCAGGAACGAAAAUGACGGUACUUGCAGAAGAAGGUGCGGCCAACUACGUGCCAGCAGCCGCGGUGACACGUAGGCACCAAGCGUUGUCCGGAUUUAUUGGGCGUAAAGAGCUCGUAGGCGGUUCGGUAAGUCAGGUGUGAAAACUUUGGGCUCAACCCAAAGCCUGCAUCUGAUACUGCUGUGACUAGAGUUCGGUAGGGGAGCGGGGAAUUCCUAGUGUAGCGGUGAAAUGCGCAGAUAUUAGGAGGAACACCGGUGGCGAAGGCGCCGCUCUGGGCCGAAACUGACGCUGAGGAGCGAAAGCGUGGGUAGCAAACAGGAUUAGAUAACCCUGGUAGUCCACGCCGUAAACGUUGGGCACUAGGUGUGGGUCUCAACCAACGAGAUCCGCGCCGUCGCUAACGCAUUAAGUGCCCCGCCUGGGGAGUACGGCCGCAAGGUUAAACUCAAAUGAAUUGACGG